rnacentral:rRNA from 1 species
UAAACUGGAGGAAGGUGGGGAUGACGUCAAGUCAUCAUGGCCCUUACGACCAGGGCUACACACGUGCUACAAUGGCGCAUACAAAGAGAAGCGACCUCGCGAGAGCAAGCGGACCUCAUAAAGUGCGUCGUAGUCCGGAUUGGAGUCUGCAACUCGACUCCAUGAAGUCGGAAUCGCUAGUAAUCGUGGAUCAGAAUGCCACGGUGAAUACGUUCCCGGGCCUUGUACACACCGCCCGUCACACCAUGGGAGUGGGUUGCAAAAGAAGUAGGUAGCUUAACCUUCGGGAGGGCGCUUACCACUUUGUGAUUCAUGACUGGGGUGAAGUCGUAACAAGGUAACCGUAGGGGAACCUGCG